UACAGAGGUCCCAAGCGUUGUUCGGAUUUACUGGGCUUAAAGGGUGCGCAGGCGGUCAGAUAAGUCGGGUGUGAAAUCCCAAGGCUUAACCUUGGAACUGCGCCCGAAACUGUCUGGCUCGAGGAUUGGAGAGGAGACUGGAAUUCACGGUGUAGCGGUGAAAUGCGUAGAUAUCGUGAGGAACACCAAUGGCGAAGGCAGGUCUCUGGACAAUUUCUGACGCUCAUGCACGAAAGCCAGGGGAGCAAACGGG
rnacentral:rRNA from 1 species